AGAGGAUGAUCAGCCACACUGGAACUGAGACACGGUCCAGACUCCUACGGGAGGCAGCAGUGGGGAAUAUUGCACAAUGGGCGCAAGCCUGAUGCAGCCAUGCCGCGUGUAUGAAGAAGGCCUUCGGGUUGUAAAGUACUUUCAGUCGUGAGGAAGGCAGUAUAGUUAAUAGCUGUAUUGUUUGACGUUAGCGACAGAAGAAGCACCGGCUAACUCCGUGCCAGCAGCCGCGGUAAUACGGAGGGUGCGAGCGUUAAUCGGAAUUACUGGGCGUAAAGCGCAUGCAGGUGGUUUGUUAAGUCAGAUGUGAAAGCCCGGGGCUCAACCUCGGAACCGCAUUUGAAACUGGCAGGCUAGAGUACUGUAGAGGGGGGUAGAAUUUCAGGUGUAGCGGUGAAAUGCGUAGAGAUCUGAAGGAAUACCAGUGGCGAAGGCGGCCCCCUGGACAGAUACUGACACUCAGAUGCGAAAGCGUGGGGAGCAAACAGGAUUAGAUACCCUGGUAGUCCACGCCGUAAACGAUGUCUACUUGGAGGUUGUGGCCUUGAGCCGUGGCUUUCGGAGCUAACGCGUUAAGUAGACCGCCUGGGGAGUACGGUCGCAAGAUUAAAACUCAAAUGAAUUGACGGGGGCCCGCACAAGCGGUGGAGCAUGUGGUUUAAUUCGAUGCAACGCGAAGAACCUUACCUACUCUUGACAUCCAGAGAACUUUCCAGAGAUGGAUUGGUGCCUUCGGGAACUCUGAGACAGGUGCUGCAUGGCUGUCGUCAGCUCGUGUUGUGAAAUGUUGGGUUAAGUCCCGCAACGAGCGCAACCCUUAUCCUUGUUUGCCAGCACGUAAUGGUGGGAACUCCAGGGAGACUGCCGGUGAUAAACCGGAGGAAGGUGGGGACGACGUCAAGUCAUCAUGGCCCUUACGAGUAGGGCUACACACGUGCUACAAUGGCGCAUACAGAGGGCAGCCAACCAGCGAUGGUGAGCGAAUCCCAAAAAGUGCGUCGUAGUCCGGAUUGGAGUCUGCAACUCGACUCCAUGAAGUCGGAAUCGCUAGUAAUCGUAGAUCAGAAUGCUACGGUGAAUACGUUCCCGGGCCUUGUACACACCGCCCGUCACACCAUGGGAGUGGGCUGCAAAAGAAGUGGGUAGUUUAACCUUCGGGAGGACGCUCACCACUUUGUGGUUCAUGACUGGGGUGAAGUCGUAACAAGGUAGCCCUAGGGGAACCUGGGGCUGGAUCACCU
rnacentral:rRNA from 1 species